AGUGAACGCUGGCGGCGUGCCUAAUACAUGCAAGUCGAACGGAGUGGCGCACUGGUGAGUAAUAUAUAGCUAAUCUGCCCCUUGCUGGAGGACAACAGUUAGAAAUUACUGCUAAUACUCCAUAGCAAGGGAUGAGACUAUAUCGUAUCAGCUAGUCGGUGGGGUAACGGCCUACAGAGGCUAUGACGCGUAACUGGUCUGAGAGGAUGAUCAGUCACAUGGGAAAGGAGACACGGUACAAAAUCUUACGGGAGGGAGCAGAAGGGAAUAUUGCGAAAUGGGGGGAACCCUGAAGGAUCAACGCCGCGUGGAGGAUGAUACUUUUCGGAGCGUAAACUCAGUUUGUUAGGGAAGCGGUACCUAACGAAUAAGCACCGGCGAACUCCGUGCCAGCAGCCGCGGUAAUAC
rnacentral:rRNA from 1 species